UACGUAGGGGGCAAGCGUUGUCCGGAAUCAUUGGGCGUAAAGCGCACGUAGGCGGCGAUUCAAGUCAGAGGUGAAAGCCCCGGGGCUCAACCCCGGAACUGCCUUUGAAACUAGAUUGCUAGAAUCCUGGAGAGGUGAGUGGAAUUCCGAGUGUAGAGGUGAAAUUCGUAGAUAUUCGGAAGAACACCAGUGGCGAAGGCGACUCACUGGACAGGUAUUGACGCUGAGGUGCGAAAAGCGUGGGGAGCAAACAGG
rnacentral:rRNA from 1 species